rnacentral:RNase_P_RNA from 1 species
GAGGAAAGUCCGGGCUCCACAGGACAGAGUGCCAGGUAACGCCUGGGGGGCGUGAGCCUACGGAAAGUGCAGCAGAAAAUAAACCGCCUCUUCGGAGGUAAGGGUGAAAUGGUGCGGUAAGAGCGCACCGCGUGUUCUGGCAACACGACGCGGCUAGGUAAACCCCACUCGGAGCAAGACCAAAUAGGGGAACAUUAUGUGCGGUCCGCACUGUUCCCGGGUAGGUUGCAAGAGGUGUGUGGCGACACACAUCCCAGAUGAAUGACUGUUCACGACAGAACCCGGCUUAU